rnacentral:rRNA from 1 species
ACCUGCACAGGUGGCUGCAUGGCUGUCGUCAGCUCGUGUCGUGAGAUGUUCGGGUUAAGUCCCGCAACGAGCGCAACCCUUAUCCCUAGUUGCCAUCAGGUAAAGCUGGGAACUCUGGGGAGACUGCCGGUGAUAAACCGGAGGAAGGCGGGGAUGACGUCAAGUCCUCAUGGCCCUUACAUCCCGGGCUACACACGUGCUACAAUGGCAGGUACAGAGGGCUGCGAAGCCGCGAGGUGGAAGCGAAUCCCAGAAAACCUGUCUCAGUCCGGAUUGAAGUCUGCAACUCGACUUCAUGAAGGCGGAAUCGCUAGUAACCGCGAAUCAGCAGGUCGCGGUGAAUACGUUCCCGGGCCUU